rnacentral:rRNA from 1 species
UACGGGGGGGAGCAAGCGUUGUUCGGAUUUACUGGGCGUAAAGGGCGCGUAGGCGGUCAGCACAAGUCAGUUGUGAAAUCUCCGGGCUUAACUCGGAAAGGUCAACUGAUACUGUGCGACUAGAGUGCGGAAGGGGCAACUGGAAUUCUUGGUGUAGCGGUGAAAUGCGUAGAGAUCGGGAGGAAUACCAGUGGCGAAGGCGGCCUUCUGGGACUGACACUGACGCUGAGGCGCGAAAGCCAGGGGGAGCAAACGGG